GACAGAGGUGCCAAGCGUUAGGCGGAAUCACUGGGCUUAAAGCGUGUGUAGGCGGGCGGGCAAGUACCUUGUGAAAUCCCACGGCUCAACCGUGGAACGGCUGGGUAUACUGCCUGUCUUGAGCCAGCUAGGGGCGACCGGAACAGACGGUGGAGCGGUGAAAUGCGUAGAUAUCGGAAGGAACGCCGGUGGCGAAAGCGGUCUGCUGGACUUCUUCUGACGCUGAGGCGCGAAAGCCAGGGGAGCGAACGGG
rnacentral:rRNA from 1 species